GAGAGAGAGGAAGGAUGAGCAUACUGAUGUGGAGCAAACAAGAACAAAGAACAAAAUAAGGACCAAUCCUUGAAAAAAAGAACUAAUUCUCAGUAAUUUUAUUUAAUCUCAAUAAUAAUCAUAAUCCAAAGCUACUGGAUAAUAGAAAAUUAGCUCUAUUUAGAGCUUGCAACCCUUCAAAUUAGAAAUAGAAAUCCUAAUUCAACUCUA
rnacentral:misc_RNA from 1 species